UACGGAGGGAGCUAGCGUUGUUCGGAAUUACUGGGCGUAAAGCGCGCGUAGGCGGCUUUGUAAGUUAGAGGUGAAAGCCCGGGGCUCAACUCCGGAACUGCCUUUAAGACUGCAUCGCUAGAAUCCGGGAGAGGUGAGCGGAAUUCCGAGUGUAGAGGUGAAAUUCGUAGAUAUUCGGAAGAACACCAGUGGCGAAGGCGGCUCACUGGACCGGUAUUGACGCUGAGGUGCGAAAGCGUGGGGAGCAAACAGG
rnacentral:rRNA from 1 species